rnacentral:rRNA from 1 species
UGCCAGACUCCUACGGGAGGCAGCAGUGAGGAAUAUUGGCCAAUGGACGCAAGUCUGAACCAGCCAAGUAGCGUGCAGGAUGACAGCCCUCCGGGUUGUAAACUGCUUUUAGUUGGGAAUAAAAGGGGGCUCGUGAGCCCCGUAUUGUAUGUACCAUCAGAAAAAGGACCGGCUAAUUCCGUGCCAGCAGCCGCGGUAAUACGGAAGGUCCGGGCGUUAUCCGGAUUUAUUGGGUUUAAAGGGAGCGUAGGCCGGCUUUUAAGUCAGCUGUGAAAGUCCGCGGCUCAACCGUGGAAUUGCAGUUGAAACUGGAGGCCUUGAGUGCACACAGGGAUGCCGGAAUUCAUGGUGUAGCGGUGAAAUGCUUAGAUAUCAUGAAGAACUCCGAUUGCGAAGGCAGCAUGCCGGCUCCACACUGACGCUGAGGCACGAAAGCGUGGGUAUCGAACAGGAUUAGAUACCCUGGUAU